rnacentral:lncRNA from 1 species
ACAGACCCGAGGGAACGAAAAUGGGCAGGCGCGGAGAGGGCGGGACGGAGGGGCGGGGCUACCAAAAGCCGUUACUUCCCCCACCGCUUGCACCUGGCCUCUGGGCACGCCCUCUGGCCUUUGGGUUUCGGGCGGUUGCGCGGCUACCCACAUCGGUUGCCGUUUUGAGGACUCGUUUCAGGGCUGAGGGGACGGGCGCCUCCUCAGGCUUAGCGAAUAGGGGUCUUUGGUCUCAAAAACACACCAAAAAUAAGAAACCCUGGCGUGCUCUUGUAUAAUCGUGGAAAGGGGGCGCGGGCGGGUGCGGCCUAAACUUCUGAGAAAGAACUGAAGGAAACGUGCGCGCUCCACCGCGCUCAACAGGAAAGCUCCCGCCACGCGGCCAUGCAGGUCGGGUCGCCCGGGAAAGGCCCCAGGGGCCCUCCUGCUUCGCGAACACGUUUCCUGCCUGGCCGCAAUGCUGCUUUCGCGCGGAAACCCACGUCCGAGGGUUUCCCGUCGCCUGGCGGAGGCGGCAGCCUCAGGCCCAUCCUCAGGCCGCGGGUCCCGCUGGGAUCGCCCUCUCUGACCUGCAGCGCUCCCAGCCGACCCUCCGGCCUUGGAGGAGCCGGGGCUGCUGCCAGAAAGGCCGCUCUCUAGCUCGGGAUAUUUCCGUUCGUAGACCUUCCGCGUUAGGGGUGCCUUUGGCCUAAGGGAUUGCGGGUUUGCGGAAAACAGUUUUAAAUAAUGCAGAGCUACGCGCCUCCGAAGAAAGAACUCCAAAGACCCUACUAGGAUUAAACUCUCAGAAGUAGGCCCAACGCCGCGCUACCUAACAGGGCUUUCCCCCGCCCCCUUCUUAAUCCUUCCCUGCUACAGCUGGGGAGUUGGGGUAGGGGUGAGUGGGUUUAUUUUAAAUGAAAAUACGUCUUCGCAAGAAGGGAGACAGGAUAUAAAAGAAAACAAAACAAGACAACUUGGACUUCAUAUUUUCCAAAAUUGGGCCACUCUCUACCUGUUUGCAGUCCUAGUGUCCAAGAGCAGGAAGAAUAUAGAGGCAGUAGCUCAAGCUUCCAACUGAGGUUGACCAAUGGGGAGGGAGCACAGACAAAACCUGCAGGAUGCGAAGAGAAUGAUAUCAGGAUAUUCCCGUGACUCUCUCCCUGAAAGACCAAGUCAGACUGUCUCUUACCUUUACAUGAUGUCACUUGUCCUCUUCAGGUGACCUGCUCCAAAUGACUCACUCUUCCAUGUUCUGGUAACCUGUCUUUCCCUCCCCUGUUGCUUUGGGUUUAGGGGUUGUAACAUAUUUGCAGUCACUAGUCCUAGAUGCAUGCAUAUUCUUUCCAUUCCCUAUAUCUUGUUCCAUACUCUUAUCAUUGGUCCCAUUGGGGCGGGGAAACCAUUAAAUUCUCUUAACUGGAGGAUUUUGAUUAUAAUCUCUAAUGCUAUUUUAGAAAGGACUACAUGUUACAAGAAAUGCACUAGAAUUUCCAUUGGCUAAAAAGCACUUCAUAUGGUUGCUCAUUACUUAAAUUAGUCAUAUUUUAAAAGGUGUGCUCUUUCUUUUUAAUACAAUCAUGUAUUUUUACUAUGAAAAUCUACUUUAGACCUCAUUCUGGUCUAAACUUCUCUUUAAGAAAUGGUGAAAUGAUUUGCACGAGGACAUGUAACCAAUGAAAGAGUGUUAUUGUUUAAACCCCUAGUCUCCUUCCUCGCUGGCCAGUGUUCUUUAGCUUUUAGUUGACCCUCUUGUUUCUCUGGAGGCUUCCCCUUGAACUUUGUCCAAAGAACUUUGAACUUUGUCCAAAGAAUAAACUUAUUUUCUACAG